GCCAUACUAGGAAGUCAGCAGAGGAAACAGAGAAUGUUGUAACAGAAGAGAGGAUCCAGAAACAAUGGAGAAGACGAUCUUCCACCAUUGUGGUUAGAACAUGAGACUUAUUGCUCAAAGAGGGGAGUAUAUGGCUUGGAGCUGCCAUCCAAUAUGAAGAAAGAAUCUUUCCUUUAUUGGAGAAAGAAGCCAGUGAAUAAAGAGGAGGUUGCGGGGAAAGCAAAGGCCAGAUAAAAGCGUUUAAUCCAAAUCCCUCCCUUUGAGGUGAAACCCUGGAAGGUAGU
rnacentral:lncRNA from 1 species